AAUUUUCUGCCACCGAAUACAUUAGCAUGGGAUAAUGGAAUAGGACCCUGUCCUCCUAUUUUCAGUUGGUUUUGGCAGCGCGAGGACUAGGGUAAUGAUUAAUAGGGAUAGUUGGGGGCAUUAAUAUUUAAUUGUCAGAGGUGAAAUUCUUGGAUUUAUGAAAGAUUAACUUCUGCGAAAGCAUCUGCCAAGGAUGUUUUCAUUAAUCAAGAACGAAAGUUAGGGGAUCGAAGACGAUCAGAUACCGUCGUAGUCUUAACCAUAAACGAUGCCGACCAGCGAUUAGGAGACGUUGAAUACAAAACACCACCAUCGGUGCGGUCGUCCUUGGCGUCGGUUUCGGCCGGCGCGGGGCCGGCUUAGCCCGGUGGCAC
rnacentral:rRNA from 1 species